GUUGCAUCGGAGCUAUCAAUUUUAAUAUUACGCAUAGAAAAAGAUUAGCAUGGUAAAUUGCAUACCGGUUAUUAAGUUAUUAAAUCAACCCGGAUACCCUCAUUUACGUCUGGAUUUGCAGUGGAUUUGUGCAAGGUCCUAAAACUUGAAGCCAAAUAUGAAAUUUGUCCUGUUAUCUGCGGUUUGCAGCGUAAUAUUAAAUGGACGAACUCUUGGAAAUGGUCAAAACAAAAGAGAUCUAAUAAUGAAAGCUUUGACUGAUAUUCGGAAAAAAGACAUCAGGUUUCCUCAGCAAAUGGUAGAGCUCCCGGAUUACUCUUUGUUACAAUAUGACCUCUUUGGAAAUCAAAACGGCCUCAAUGGAAAAGUGAGCAUGAUACAAGCAGAACUUCAAGUGUUGAUAGACAAACUGGAAAUAUUCAAAGGAAAGUUGUGUUUUAUAGUUAACAAAACAUCUGUUUGCGAUUUAGUUUUAAGGUAUUAGGUAUAGAGUCAUCCUCAAAAAGCAAAUAAAGUUAUAAUCAAAGGUAGAAUUUCAUGUCAUUCUACAUUUCAGUACAUUUCAGUUAUCUUUCUGAAUUUUCAGGACUUAACUACAAUUUGUGUCUACCUUUUGAAUUCCUUCAUUAAUGCUUUCCGUUUUAUAGAUUUAUUUGUAUGCUUUUAGCUCUCAUUUCUUUUUUGUUUUAUGAAAAAAAAAACAUGUGCUAUACGUAUUUCAAUUAUAUUUUUAACUGCAACCUCAAAUUUUAAAGAACACAUGUCCUUAAACAACCUUAUAGUUUAAAGUAGACAUAUCCUUAAAGUUUGUUCUAUUAGAUUUUCAACUGCAACCUUAAACUUUAACAUAAAUAUAUCUUUUAAGUUGUUUUUUUUUUCAAUUACAUUUAAACUUCUACGUAAAUAUAUCUUUUAAGUUUGCUCAAUUCACAUUCUCAACUGCAACUUUAAUCAUCAAAGUACAAACAUCCUUUAAGUUUCUUCAAUUGUAUUCUCAACUAAAACCUUAAACUUUAACGUGAACACGUCCUUUAAGUUUGCUCAAUUACAUUCUCCACUGCAACCUUCAGGAGAAGAUGACGAUGGUGGAGAACAAACAGGUGAGCUACAAAUUGAGAUCGAUAACCUUAAUGACGAAAUUCGAAAGCUGACUGACACGCUGGGCGAAGCCAUUGAAUUAUCGUUGAAAAAUCCACUGUGGGACCUCGUUUGGAAACUUUUUGAGAUAUAUGGAGAUGAUUUCAUAGAACCUUUCUGGACCGCUCUUGAUUACGACGGUA